CAAACGGUCCAUUACCGCGGCUCCGGGGUGGGCGAAGGGAGAGGGGGCCGGGUUUCCGAGAAGGGGGAGGGGGCAAGGCGAAGGCGGCCUAGGACAGUCACGUGCCCACUGCUUCCGCCGCCGCUAGCUGAUACCUCGCGAGAAUACCGUUUUCCCCACCCGUUCUGUUCCGUGGGCUGUCGGGAAGAAGGUCGCCUUCUCCUGGGUGCCACCGGCAGGUCAGCCUGUGCGUCUGUGCGCACACGCCCCACCCCUGCCGCCGCCGGCGUAGUCCGACUGGUAAGGCCCUAGGGCUAUUUUCAGAACCUUGGCAUUGGCUAGCAGUCCUUGUGCAGUUUCUGACACUUGACGAGCUCUUCAUUGAGCAUGCUAGAAAAAAAAAAUUAACGUAGUCAUUGUUCUGAAGCUCGCUUGAGCUUUAUUGAACUUGAUUGACUCGAAAACCGCAGUGAGCCUCUGGGCUCGUCCCUGGUCAUUACCUCACGUAGAACAGAGCUGGACUGUCCCAUUGUAGACUUUUCUGCAUCCACCAUUGCUGCAUACCAGGGCUUCCCCGGUAGCUCUUUGCUUGUUCGUUUUCAUGUUUUCAUUAUUCAGACUAACACAAUAACUUCUUGGUCACCCUUUGACAAGAGAAUGCAGCUUGACGCUGUUACUUAGGUGAUAGGCAUGCCUGGGCGUUUCUUACCCCCUUAUGGCUGAGCAUCUUUUUCGUCCUGUGCUGAAAACAAACUGCACUCGUGUUUUGACCAUUGAGUGUGUGAACUCAGCCAGGCAGUGGUGAUACACACCUUUAAUCCCAGCACUUGGGAAACAGAGGUAGGCUGAUCCCUGAGUUCUAGGCCAACCUGGUCUAAAAAGAAGUUCCAAGACAGGUUACACAGAGAAAAAUGUGUGAGUUCUUCCAGAAAAUUAUGGGCCUGUAUUCUAGGUUUUUGUUUGUUUGUUUGUUUUGUUUUGUUUUUUUCUGUUGCUACGAUAGAACAAUCACCAAAACCAACUAGGGAAAGGAAGGGCUUAUUUCAUCUUAUAUUUUAUAGUCCGUCAUCCAGGCAAGCCAAGGCUGGGUAUGGAAGCAGAAGCUGAAGCACAGAUUAUAGAAGAGUUCAGCUGUUUACUGGCUUGCUUUUUAUAAAACUGGGCUAUCCUACACCAAUUGAGAAGAUGCCCCCACAUGCACUCAUCCCUGCUAUGAGGAGAUAUGCAUUGAAUCUUGUUGAAUUUUUUCAACGUCAGUAACCAAUAGAUACUCACUAAGCAUGUGGGAGCUAUGGUCUGGAGGAGAAUCAAAUGCAGGUUUAUGCCUCUCAACAUUCAUGGUCAGCAGCAAGGGAGGUGAAGAUUCCUUAUUAUGGUACUCAGCGGCUUCUUCCUCAAGCUUACCAGGAUUGAACUGAUCAUCACCAAACAAUUUUGUAAAGGUGUCUGCAUCUAGAGGCUCCCCCGGGGAUGUGGAGGGGUUUCUCUGUAGCUUUGGAGCCUGUCCUGAAAAUAGCUCUGUAGACCAGGCUACCUUCAAACUCACAGAGAUCCGCCUGCCUCUCCCUCCCGAGUGCUGGGAUUAAAGGCAUGCGCCACCACCGCCUGGGUACUGUGCUGGAAUUCUCAACUUGUGAGAGGGUCCAAUCAGCUCUAUGGUGAGGACCUCCUUUCCUUCAGAGGUCCCUGCAAUUUGUCUAAACUUUCUCGCCUCACUUUAGCACUCCAGGUGUUGGCACAGAAGCGCUCCCUGGGAGUAAAGAAAGCACCUGAAGAGAGUGACUACCACUCACAGAGUAGAAUCACCACUGGAGGAGGCCAGGCCUGAAAGGAAAAGGCAGGUUUGACAGAGGUCCUUCUCCAGCUGCUGAACAGCUUGCCCAUGUUCCCCCUAAUGACAGAACACAGUGCAUAGUAACAAGGAAUCAUGACAGGACCUAUCUGGUGUGACAGAGCUGAAAUGUGGACUUGAGGGGUUUGCAUGGUAAUGCAGAGGGUACAAGUGUUUGCUGAAAACCUAUGACCAGAGUUCGAUCCUUCGAAUCCACAUGAAGAAAGAAGAGAACAUAUGUCUGCAAGUUGACCUGUGACCUCCACACAAGCUCGGUGGUAUUGGCACACACACACAUACACAAGAUAAAAAGGAAAAAUGUAUUUGAGCUAAAACUCCACCACAGUUCUUUAAGAACCUAGAUGGUCUAGCCACAUCUACUUCUCUGGACUAAUCUCAAUCCCUCAGUCAUCCAUUCAAUCACAAUUACGUAGCUUGUUUUUUUUUUUAAUUUUCCCCAAACCCCUCCUAGUAUUUUUUUUAAUAUUUAUUUAUUUGUUAUAUAUACAAUAUUCUGUCUGUGUGUAUGCCUGAAGGCCAGAAGAGGGCGCCAGACCUUUUUACAGAUGGUUGUGAGCCACCAUGUGGUUGCCGGGAAUUGAACUCAGGACCUUUGGAAGAGCAGGUAAUGCUCUUAACCACUGAGCCAUUUCUCCAGCCCCCCUCCCCCAGUAUUUGUAUUUGCCUUUCCCUGACCCAAGAAGUGGCAAGUGGGGAGUGGAGCCUGACUGCAGCUCUUGUUAAUGCUAGGCAGGGGUCGCCACUAACCUGUGUCCUCAGCCCUUCUUUUGGUGCUUCCUUGAUUAUAAGGCAAAUUAAAUUUCUACACGUUCUUCGGUUAGGGGUAUUUGAGGGAUGAUCUCACGACGUAGCCCAGACUAUCGAUGAAACCAUUUGACUGCCUGAACCGCCAUACAACUUUAUGCCAUCAGGCCCCACCAAAGCUGCUGGACUGGAAGGAUUCUCUGACUUCAUCUCUGCAAAGAAGCUCAGCACACCGAGUGGGGAGGCAAAGGCAAGUGGAUCUCUGAGUUUCAGGGUAACUUGGUAACAACAACAACAACAACAACAAAAAACAAUAACAACAAAAGAAGCAGCUUCGACUGGACCUGGAGAGUCUUGAAUUUCUGAUCCUCCUGUCUCCACCUCUGUUGCUGGGAUUAUAGGAAUAUACCACUACACUGGGUGUAUGCUGUGCUUUGGAUCAAAACCAAGGCUAGACAUGCAUUCCAACUGAGCUACAUCCCCAGUCCUACUGGGUGUGGGUUUUGUUUCUACUUGUCUAUCUGUACACGACUUACAUGCUUAGUAUUCACAGAGGCCAGAAGAGUGUCGGAUUCCCCUGGAACUGGAGUUACAGAUAGUUGUGAGCUUCCAAGUGAGUGCUGGGAACUGAACCCGGAUCCUCUAGAAAAGAAGCCAAUUUCUUCUCUUCUGCCAUCCUUUUAAUUCAUUAUUUUUAUUUUCACUAAUUUAUUUAUUUGUGUUUUCUAUGCAUUGGUGUUUUACCUGCAGGUAGUCUGUGAGGGUGUCAGACUUUGGAGUUAGGACAGUUAGUUAUUAGCUGCAAUGUGGGUCCUGGGAAUUGAACUAGGGUCAUCUGGAAAAGCAGUCAGUGCUUUUAACCACUGAGACAUCUUUCUGUCUUUCCUGGCUAGUUUGAUAUCAAUUUUACACAAGCUGAAAGUUAUCUUAAACAAGAGAGCCACAUGAAUAAUAAAAACUCAGAUACAGAUAUUGGGGUUAAUACUGAAGAUCAUAAAAGCCAAACAGUCAAGCCACUAGAGAAGUCUUACCCCUACCAGGAUUGGGCGACUCCAGACUGAGCUCUGAGCCUCUGUCUCCUCCUGUUUUAUAUUCCCCUCUAGUGCUGGGAUUAAAGACAUGUGACUCCCUAGUACUGGGAUUAAAAGUAUGAACCACCACCACCUGGUUCUGUUUCUGCAUUGAUCUUGUGUAGCCCAGGCUGGCUCCUGAACUCACAGAGAUCCAUCUGCCUCUAUCUUCCAAAUCCUGGGACUAAAAGUGUGUGACACCACUGCCUGGCCUCCAGUGGCUUAGUUUUACCUUCUGGUCUUCAGGCAAGCUUUAUUUAUAAAACAUAAAUAAAAUAUCACCAUAUUUCCACCUUUUAUCUAAAAUAGAUAAAAGCAUAACUAAUAUAAAAAACUAUAUACAAUAAGUAAAAUAACUACAAACAAUAUGUGCAGGCAAUAAAUAUUUCAACAAUGUCUAGUUUAUUUGCAUUUGACAAAUUCAGAGAAAAUACUCCAUAUCUAUCCUAUCUUGUGAGUCCAAAGUCUUGCACCUAAUUUACUUUCUAUCAUAACUUGCUUUCUGUGUCUGGUAAACAAGGAAAACUAUAACUCUCUAGUCUUGAACUCCCUCAGAGACCCACGAAGGAAAUAAAAUUAGCUGAGUAAGCAGGAAGUGUGAGCAAGCGACUUCUAAAAAUUGUGAGAAACAACAGCUGGCUGCCUGGACAGUCACCCAAAUUUCCUCUGCAAUGUUGAGGCAUCCAUCUUCAGUUUACAAUGCCUAGAAUAUCUGGCAGACUUUUCUAUGAAGCAAGGGUUUUGAAGGACUGUCAUGCCUUGUCUGAGCAAGGUUUGGCAGUCACUCUUUUGUGUCUUGCUUGUCCAUUAGGACAUACUGUCAGCAGUCAAGGCAAGAACACUUUCUUGCCCAGUGGCUUACUUUUGCCACAAAGUAAGAACUCCAUGUGGAGCUUCUUUUAUGCCCAUCAUCUUCUCUGAAGUAGACUGGUGCUGCCAGGAGUAGACAUGUCUAAUAAUCAUUAAAAAAAGAGCCUAUGUUAUUAAAUCAUUAAAUACCAUAUUCUGUAGGUCUCUGAAGUGUUUGAAGAUGACCUAUUUAUAAUAUAUCUUUGUUUGACCUUGAAAACAAACAUACAAGUUUGACUUACAAGUUUGAUUAUACUAGGUGAUUAACUACUUUCCUAUAUUUCCUUAUUAUUCUAAACAGUUGGUAAUAAUAACUGUCAAGGACUAGAAAUUUGCAUUAUAUUGUUAAAUGAGCUAAAUAGGUUCAAUACCUUGAACAAGAUUAGAAACAUAUGUACAGAAUAAAAUUUGUAUACAAUAUACAAAAGUGCAAUCCGAUGUAAGACAUUUAAAACUAGUAGUUGCUUUUUUGAAAAUAGAUUCAAUAAUGUACUUUUCUAUCUUAUUAUACCUACAUCCCUUUUCUCUUUUCAAAACAAGAACCUUGAAUCUAAUGUCCUUUGUUUUUUUCCUGACCAUUAUCAAUAACAACUUGUAACCAAAACCCCUAAACAAUGACAAAUAUCCAUAACCCAUUGGAUGACCCAAACCCACCCACCCCACCUCUUGGAAAUGUGGACAUUGUAUUCUUUUUUUAAAAAUAAGAGUGUGUGGUACUCUUUUUUUAUUUCAUUGCUUUUUAUUUUACUUUAAAGGUUUAUUUACUUAUUUAUUAUGUAUACAACAUUCUGCCUCCAUGUAUGUCCGCACGCCAGAAGAGGGCACCAGAUCUCAUUACAGAUGGUUGUGAGCCACCAUGUGAUUGCUGGAAAUUGAACUCAGGACCUCUGGAAGAGCAGCCAGUGCUCUUAACCACUGAGCCAUCUCUCUAGUCCCUGGCAUUGUAUUCUUAAAUUAUCUUCUUGCUGUCUGGGAGCAAUAGUAUCUUUAGGGGAUCCUUAAAAGAAAAAUUUGUGUUAACCAUCAAGUCCUGGGAGAGGUGGCUGUAUCAUCUGUUGUCCAGUCUCUGCAUAAUGGGAAAGUGCAGGCUUGUCUCAAGUCCUGGCUAGAGUAGUCUGUUAGCUGGUUCAUCUCAGCUAGCCACCUCAAAAUUGUUCUGAGCAGUUUGUAGUUCAAAGUUGAUCUUUAGGUGUUUUACAGCUUAGUGGUGUUACCAUACUCUUGGAGGAAUUGUGACUGUGAGGCCCCAUCCUCACUGUGGAGACUUCAAGCUUCUGAAUUUGGUAUCAUUUUAUUUACUGUCUGAAGUCAAUCUUUGUAUGAAAUCCCUAAAGGCUUCCUUUGGGCUCUAUAUAACUUUAGUAAAUGACUGAAUUUUCUUUUCUAUUUCUCCAAUUCUGUUCCAAGCAUUCAAAGCUGCUGCAUGGCAUAAAUCUAGGGUGUGAUCAUCAUCUAUAGACUGACUUUCUAUAGAAGCAUGUUCCCCUUCUCCAAGAAUUUGAUCUUGAGAGAUUUUCCUACCUCUAAUUUUACUCAGUUGUAAGCCGGGCGGUGGUGGAGCACGCCUUUAAUCCCAGCACUAGAGACAGAGGCAGGCGGAUCUCUGUGAGUUCGAAACCAGCCUGGUCUACAAGAGCUAGUUCCAGGACAGGCUCCAAAGCCACAGAGAAACCCUGUCUCGAAAAAAAAAAAUUUUUUUUUUUUUUACUCCGUUGUAAAUAACCUUAGCUUCUUCUCUGAACCAGGUACUACAUUGUAAUUGUGGCCCGGGCUCUAAAACACCUUUAAUUAAAUCUAUCCAGUCGUUGGAAUAAUUCUAUUACAAACUGACCACGAGUUUAAGACCUGCUUCACAAAAAUGAAUGCAUGCUAUAUGAGAUUAUUGCUUCCUUGAAUCUCCUUAAAUCUAACAUUGGCACAGGAGUCCAGUUAGCUGUAAGAGAGCCUCUGCAAUUUGACAGUUCCUGUAAGAUUACUGGAUAUAUUAAGGUUGUUUGCUUGAAAACCUUAGGAUGUUCCUCUCUAAUCUUAUAAUGCAAUGCUUUAAUUGGUUUUCCAUUAAAUUCCUCUGUCUGAAAUUGAAUAUUUCUGUGAUUAGCUUUUUUUGUUUGCUUGUUUGUUCUGUUUUGUUUUGUUUGAGACAGGAUUUCUCUAUGUAGCUUUGGAGCCUGUCCUGGCAAUAGCCAUGUGGACCAGGCUGGCCUCAAACUCACAGAGAUCCACCUGCCUCUGCCUCUGGAGUGCUGGGAUUAAAGGCGUGCGCCACCACCACCAGGCAUAAUCGGUCCAUUUUCAAACUGUCUAGCAUAUUAUCAUAUGGAGACCUUAAUCCUUCCAUUAUAAUGGCUUUUCCCAUUUUUAAUGUGGGGGAAGUAAUGCUCCCUUUUAACUAAUUCUUCCCUUUAAGUAUUCCCAAAUGUCUUUCCAAAUCUACGAUGAUGCUGAUGAAGAUAUGCUGUCACUUGUAACUGUCGAUGGUGAUGUGGGCUCACAUGGGUCCAUGAAAUGAAGACUCAGAGACAAAAUGAGAAUGAACUUCGCCUCCGCAGCUGCAGGGCGCUCAGUCUUUGUAAACGGAGGCAGGGGUGCCUUGUCUUUGCCUCUUGGCAUCUUUAUUUUUCCUUAUGUUUACACUUUACUUAAUAGAUUUCCAUACAUCAAAACAGACUGUUAGAAGCUUCCAAAAAGACAAUGUCAGGUGCAAAUACCUGGUUUAUGAGGUACCGUGGUUUUCUGGGUUUCCUCUAAACCAAGUUUUGCAUAGGCUUUGUAUCCAUGGGAAACUCUCAGUUGAGAUUCACAAAGGGCAACAAAAGGUAUCUGUAACACAAAGGAAGGCCUAGGGGCUGCGUGAAAACUCCGGAGCCAGGCCAGUUAUAAGACAGCUUUCAUGGCUUUGCAGUUUCGUGGCUAGUGGAGGUUGCUUGUUAUCGUCUGGUGCCAGGCCAGGGGACAAUUGUACCACAAUGUGAGGCUUACUGCUGCUGGAUAGAACAGUAAAAGCCUGACUGGAUUUCCUUUUUUUUUUUUUCCCUCCAUCUUCCAUUUGUUUUUUAUUUUAUCUUAUUUUUGGUUUUCUGAGACAUAAUAUCUCACUAUGUAGCCCUUCCUAACCUGGGACUUCCUAUAGAGACCAGCCUGGCCUCAAAUUCGUAGCCUUCCCCCAGCUUCACUCUUAACCUCUCACCACACCUGGAUUCCCCUCGUGACCACAGGGCUGACGAGAAACUGCCCAGCACCACUAGAGAGGGUCACAUUGCAUCUCGGUAGCCAAGGGGAAAAACCAAAACCAAGAUUGAAGCAUAGCAUCUCUCUUUGGAAUCACAGGAAAGUAAACUGGUGGGGUAGGACCCACUAUCCUGAGGCUGACUGGAUUUCUUUUAUCUAUCUAUCUAUCUAUCUAUCUAUCUAUCUAUCUAUCUAUCUAUCUAUCUAUCUAUGGUUUUUCGAGACAGAGUUUUGCUGUGGCUUUAGAGCCUGUCCUGGAACUAGCUCUGUAGACCAGGCUGGUCUCGAACUCCCAGAGAUCCCCCUGCCUCUGGGCUGACUGGAUUUCAACGUAGCUACCUAGUUUGGCAGCAGUCUGAGAAAGGGGUUCAGGGAGAGCUCACAACCCAUGGUGGAGAGAGGGAGAGAAAGAGAGAGCUGGUUGUCUGAAAAAAAAAAAACCUGCAUGGGAC